UUUCCCUCAGGGUUGGCCGGUCCUGCCUGCCUUUCCAUCUGCCCAGUACUGGCCUUGAACACCCGGAAUGGCUUCUCUGCACGCUCUCCUGUGGGCUGCCUUCCCGCCUUGGUGCUGGCGCCCAGAGCUUGAGACCCAUUUCUGACUGCAAGAGGACUGUGGUCUCUGCCCUUGCUCCGCUGAGCUCUGGCUGCCGCCUGCAUCCAGCAUCCGUUCCCAGCACCCCCCGUCCCGGCUCCAGGCCGAGCUCAUCUGGGGCCUGCUACCAGGGUGGCGAGGACCCCACGGAAUGCUCAGACCGGGCCCCGGCACAUCACAAAUGCUGCCGAAGUGAGUUGUCAUCCACAUCAUCAGAGGCCAUGACUCUGCAUCACUCAGAGCAAGGGUGGAGCCUUCCCGGCAAGGAUUCGACUCUGUUCCAGGAAGAAGAGAGGCAAUGAGCAAAAAGACCACAGCAGGCAUGUCGUAGAGGAGGAAACGGAGUGCACAGAUGAACGCGGGAAAAGCUGCCCGAUGUCACGAGGAUGCAGGGAAGUGCAAGGUAAGGUCCCCGUGAGAGAUUUCACAUCCAUCAGGCUCACAGUGAGGAAGACAUGUGACAUCUGACAGCACCGAGGGUCUGAGAGGAUGUAGAUCAGCUGGCACCCACGGUUGACGAGUGUGAAACCUGGUCUGGCCACACUGAAAACCGCUUUGGCCUUUUCUUGUUAGGUUGACCAGUCCCAUACCUUAGCACCCUGCAAAUCCACUCCCAGGAGCCACACAAGGCACACCCAAGAAGAGUUCGUCGCAGCACUGUUCGCAAGAGGAGGGGGAGAGAGGAAGUGACCCAGAUACUCACUGACAGGGCAAUGCAAAAAGAAAUUGUAGCACAGUCACACCAUUUCUUUCCACACCGGUGACAGCAAACUCCAGCUACACAGCAGCACAGCUCAAGCUCAGAGAGAGGGAAAUGUUGAGUACAAAAAUGCAAAUUUUAGAGAUCUACAUACAGAGAGCAAGUUUUUAGAGCUUGAGAACAAAGAAGCAAAUUAAUGUUUAGGCUUAUU